GAUGAACGCUGGCGGCGUGCUUAACACAUGCAAGUCGAACGAUGAAGCCCAGCUUGCUGGGUGGAUUAGUGGCGAACGGGUGAGUAACACGUGAGUAACCUGCCCUUAACUCAGGGAUAAGCCUGGGAAACUGGGUCUAAUACCGGAUAGGAGCGUCCACCGCAUGGUGGGUGUUGGAAAGAUUUAUCGGUUUUGGAUGGACUCGCGGCCUAUCAGCUUGUUGGUGAGGUAAUGGCUCACCAAGGCGACGACGGGUAGCCGGCCUGAGAGGGUGACCGGCCACACUGGGACUGAGACACGGCCCAGACUCCUACGGGAGGCAGCAGUGGGGAAUAUUGCACAAUGGGCGCAAGCCUGAUGCAGCGACGCCGCGUGAGGGAUGACGGCCUUCGGGUUGUAAACCUCUUUCAGUAGGGAAGAAGCGAAAGUGACGGUACCUGCAGAAGAAGCACCGGCUAACUACGUG
rnacentral:rRNA from 1 species